GACGAACGCUGGCGGCGUGCCUAAUACAUGCAAGUAGAACGCCGAAGGAGGAGCUUGCUUCUCUGGCGGAGUUGCGAACGGGUGAGUAACGCGUAGGUAACCUGCCCGGCAGCGGGGGAUAACUUAAGGAAACGAUAGCUAAUACCGCAUAAGAGUAGAUGUCGCAUGACAUGUGCGGAAAAGUUGCAACUGCAUCACUUGCAGAUGGAGCUGCUUUGUAUUAGGGUGGUGGUGAGGUAACGGCGCACCAAGGCAAAGGUACAGAGCCGAUGUGAGGGGGUGAUCAGCCACACUUGGACUGGGACACCGCCCAGACUCCCACGGGAAGCCGCAGUAGGGGAUCAUCGGCCAUUGGCGGCAGUCUUACCCCGCAACGCCUCGGUAGUGAAGAAGGGUUUCGGGUCGUAAAGCUCUGUUGUUAGGGAAGAACGAGUGUGAGGGUGGUAAGUUGACGCUGUGACGGUACCUUACCAAUAAGCACCGGCUAACUACGUG
rnacentral:rRNA from 1 species